rnacentral:rRNA from 1 species
CCUACGGGAGGCAGCAGUGGGGAAUAUUGCACAAUGGGGGAAACCCUGAUGCAGCGACGCCGCGUGAGUGAAGAAGUCCUUCGUUAUGUAAAGCUCUAUCAUCAGGGAAGAAAAUGACGGUACCUGAGUAAGAAUCCCCGGCUACCUACGUGCCAGCCGCCGCGGUAAUCCGUAGGGGGCACGCGUUAUCCGGAUUUACUGGGUGUAAAGGGCGCGUAGACGGGAGUGCAAGUCUGGAGUGAAAGGCGGGGGCUCAACCCCCGGACUGCUCUGGAAACUGUACGGCUGGAGUGCAGGAGAGGUAAGUGGAAUUCCUAGUGUAGCGGUGAAAUGCGUAGAUAUUAGGAGGAACACCAGUGGCGAAGGCGGCUUACUGGACUGUAACUGACGUUGAGGCUCGAAAGCGUGGGGAGCAAACAGGAUUAGAUACCCUUGUAGUC